rnacentral:rRNA from 1 species
GACGAACGCUGGCGGCGUGCCUAAUACAUGCAAGUCGAACGCUUUUUCUUUCACCGGAGCUUGCUCCACCGAAAGAAAAGGAGUGGCGAACGGGUGAGUAACACGUGGGUAACCUGCCCAUCAGAAGGGGAUAACACUUGGAAACAGGUGCUAAUACCGUAUAACAGUCGAAACCGCAUGGUUUCGAUUUGAAAGGCGCUUUUGCGUCACUGAUGGAUGGACCCGCGGUGCAUUAGCUAGUUGGUGAGGUAACGGCUCACCAAGGCAACGAUGCAUAGCCGACCUGAGAGGGUGAUCGGCCACAUUGGGACUGAGACACGGCCCAAACUCCUACGGGAGGCAGCAGUAGGGAAUCUUCGGCAAUGGACGAAAGUCUGACCGAGCAACGCCGCGUGAGUGAAGAAGGUUUUCGGAUCGUAAAACUCUGUUGUUAGAGAAGAACAAGGAUGAGAGUAAAAAGUUCAUCCCUUGACGGUAUCUAACCAGAAAGCCACGGCUAACUACGUGCCAGCAGCCGCGGUAA